rfam:Glycine max cultivar Williams 82 chromosome 8, whole genome shotgun sequence.
GGUCUAUUAGUUCAAUUGGUUAGAGCAUUGUGUUAAUAGCUCAAAUAUGAUGGGUUCGAGACCUGCAUGGGCCA